GCCGUCUUAGCUCAGCGGCAGAGCAGCUGUUUUGUAAACAGCAGGCCGUCGGUUCGAAUCCGACAGACGGCUCCA
rnacentral:tRNA from 3 species